rnacentral:rRNA from 1 species
GGUUGAUCCUGCCAGUAGUCAUACGCUCGUCUCAAAGAUUAAGCCAUGCAUGUGUAAGUAUAAAUAAUUUUACUUUGAAACUGCGAAUGGCUCAUUAUAUCAGUUAUAGUUUAUUAGAAAUAUUUUACUACUUGGAUAACCGUAGUAAUUCUAGGGCUAAUACAUGAGUAAAACCUCAACUUCGGAAGAGGUGUGUUUAUUAGUAUGAAAACCAUAUAUCUUCGGAUAUAAUAGUGAGUAAUAAUAACCUUUCAUAUCGUAUGUCGUAAGAUAACGAUAGUUCUUUCAAGUUU